ACACUCCUACGGGAGGCAGCAGUGGGGAAUUUUGGACAAUGGGGGCAACCCUGAUCCAGCAAUGCCGCGUGAGUGAAGAAGGCCUUCGGGUUGUAAAGCUCUUUUGUCAGGGAAGAAACGGUGGUGGCGAAUAACUACUACUAAUGACGGUACCUGAAGAAUAAGCACCGGCUAACUACGUGCCAGCAGCCGCGGUAAUACGUAGGGUGCAAGCGUUAAUCGGAAUUACUGGGCGUAAAGCGUGCGCAGGCGGUUGUGUAAGUCAGAUGUGAAAUCCCCGGGCUCAACCUGGGAAUUGCAUUUGAGACUGCACGGCUAGAGUGUGUCAGAGGGGGGUAGAAUUCCACGUGUAGCAGUGAAAUGCGUAGAUAUGUGGAGGAAUACCGAUGGCGAAGGCAGCCCCCUGGGAUAACACUGACGCUCAUGCACGAAAGCGUGGGGAGCAAACAGGAUUAGAAACCCCGGUAGUCCC
rnacentral:rRNA from 1 species